rnacentral:rRNA from 1 species
GACGAACGCUGGCGGCGUGCUUAACACAUGCAAGUCGAGCGGGGCGGCGAACGGGUGAGUAACGCGUGAGUAACUGCCCCCCUCUCUGGGGUAACAGUUGGAAACGGCUGCUAAUACCGGAUAGUGGGGGAUGACUCGCGUCCUAUCAGCUUGUUGGUCGGGUAGUGGCGUACCAAGGCGACGACGGGUAGCCGGCCUGGGAAGUGGACCGGCCACAUGGGUCUGAGAUACGCCCCAAACUGCUACGUGAGGCAGCAGGCGCGAAUAUUGCGCAAUGGGGGAAACUCUGAUGCAGCAGCGCGCGUGCGGGAUGACGGCCUUCGGGUUGUAAACCGCUUUCAGCCAUUACCCGGUAGUGGCAGAAGAAGCACCGGCUAACUACGUGCCAGCAGCCGCGGUAAUAC